CGUUUACCGUGAAAAAAUUAGAGUGUUCAAAGCAGGCAGAUCCAAUUUUCUGCCACCGAAUACAUUAGCAUGGGAUAAUGGAAUAGGACCCUGUCCUCCUAUUUUCAGUUGGUUUUGGCAGCGCGAGGACUAGGGUAAUGAUUAAUAGGGAUAGUUGGGGGCAUUAAUAUUUAAUUGUCAGAGGUGAAAUUCUUGGAUUUAUGAAAGAUUAACUUCUGCGAAAGCAUCUGCCAAGGAUGUUUUCAUUAAUCAAGAACGAAAGUUAGGGGAUCGAAGACGAUCAGAUACCGUCGUAGUCUUAACCAUAAACGAUGCCGACCAGCGAUUAGGAGACGUUGAAUACAAAACACCACCAUCGGCGCGGUCGUCCUUGGCGUCGGUCUUUCGGGGCCGGCGCGGGGACGGCUUAGCCCGGUGGCACCGGUGAAUGACUCCCCUAGCAGCUUGUGAGA
rnacentral:rRNA from 1 species